GGCGGCGUAGCUCAGCUGGCAGAGCAAACGGCUCAUAAUCGUUGGGUCACUGGUUCGAGUCCAGUCGCCGCCACCA
rnacentral:tRNA from 1 species